rnacentral:rRNA from 1 species
CAGCAGCCACGGUAAUACAGAGGGUGCGAGCGUUAAUCGGAUUUACUGGGCGUAAAGCGUGCGUAGGCGGCUUUUUAAGUCGGAUGUGAAAUCCCUGAGCUUAACUUAGGAAUUGCAUUCGAUACUGGGAAGCUAGAGUAUGGGAGAGGAUGGUAGAAUUCCAGGUGUAGCGGUGAAAUGCGUAGAGAUCUGGAGGAAUACCGAUGGCGAAGGCAGCCAUCUGGCCUAAUACUGACGCUGAGGUACGAAAGCAUGGGGAGCAAACAGGAUUAGAGACCCCAGUAGUCCCUGUCUCUUAUAC